rnacentral:lncRNA from 1 species
ACUGUUCAGGGUCCCACAGAAGAUCAAACUACACUUCUCUGUUAUAUGUGUGGGAGGCCGAGUUCAAUUCCAUGAAGGGUCCCUGGUUGGCAGUUCAGUCUCUAGAAUUUCCUUUAAUUUUUGUUCAAAGGCAGUGUCCCUGAUGGCAGGAGAAGCAUGGCAACAGGAACCGGAAGCUAAGAGAUCACAUUUCCAUUGUGCACAGGAAGCAGAGAGGAUCCAUGGGGACAUAGGGAAGAGACGAUUGUCCUCACUCCAUCUUCUUCCAAGACCCUCAGAAUGUCUUCCUAGUAGUAGAAAAUAAGACAGAACCACGAUGCUUGAGAAUACACCAGAGCCACGAGAAGAUAAGAGUAAAUGAUAAACAUCAGCUGAGACAAUUUUAC